rnacentral:snRNA from 1 species
CCACUUUGGCAGCAGAUAUACUAAAAUGAGACAGAGGAUAUAGAGAAGAUUAGCAUGGCCCCUGCUCAAAAAUGACACGAAAACUCUACAUUUUU